rnacentral:rRNA from 1 species
AUUGAACGCUGGCGGCAUGCUUUACACAUGCAAGUCGAACGGCAGCGCGGUCUUCGUCCUGGCGGCGAGUGGCGAACGGGGGAGUAAUGCAUGGGAACGUGCCACGUCGUGGUGGAUAGCACGUCGAAAGCCGGGUUAAUCCCGCAUACGGGCUGUGGAUGAAAGCGGGGGCCCGAAAAGCCUUGCGCUUUUGGCGCGCCCGAUGUCGGAUUAGCUAGUUGGUGGGGUAAAGGCUUACCAAGCCGAGCAUCCGUAGCUGGUCUGAGAGGACGACCAGCCACACUGGGACUGAGACACGGCCCAGACUCCUGCGGGAGGCAGCAGUGGGGAAUUUUGGACAAUGGGGGCAACCCUUGUCCAGCCAUGCCGCGUGCGGGAAGAAGGCCUUCGGUUUGUAAACCCCUUGUGUGCGGGAAGAAAUCCUCUGGGCUAAUACCCCGGGGGGAUGACGGUACCGGAUGAAUAAGCACCGGCUAACUACGUG